CUAAGGAUGCUGGACCGGCAUUCGCGAUCAAGCCGUCAUCGAGAGCGCAUCACUAGCUUGUCCUCACCUCGACUCUCUCUCUCACUCUUGGACACGGCUCGCCUCUGCUACUACUACUACUACUGCUACUACUGCUGCUACCACUACUACUACUGCUACCACACCUCCCUCGUCUUUCCCUCGCUGCUUGGAAGAACGAGGCGUGUCCACAAGGAAUCAGAUAGCAAGAUGGUAGGCGGCGGCGGCGGUGUGAGGCUGGCUGCGGCGGCCCUGGUUUUGGUGGCGGUGGUGGUGGCGGCGACAGCGUACCCUCUGGCGCAGGGGGAUGACGGCGAGAGGGGACUGGCCGCCUUCAGGAGGAGUCUGUACGGCGCUGGGUCGGUGCGCAGGACUCAGAACCAGUGCACCAAUGACCAACAUAUGUGCGAGAUGUGCGCUAAGGAGACCAAAUCGCAGAAGGUGUACACGCUCUGUUGCAAUGGUGCAGACAACGCGCAGAUCUGGUGUCAAAGUUUCCUCGGCUUCGGCAUCAGCAACAUAUAAAGCCCCUCUUCGCCUCCUC